GAUGAACGCUGGCGGCGUGCCUAAUACAUGCAAGUCGAGCGAACAGAUAAGGAGCUUGCUCCCUUGAAGUUAGCGGCGGACGGGUGAGUAACACGUGGGUAACCUACCUAUAAGACUGGGAUAACUUCGGGAAACCGGAGCUAAUACCGGAUAACAUUUAGAACCGCAUGGUUCUAAAGUGAAAGAUGGUUUUGCUAUCACUUAUAGAUGGACCCGCGCCGUAUUAGCUAGUUGGUAAGGUAACGGCUUACCAAGGCGACGAUACGUAGCCGACCUGAGAGGGUGAUCGGCCACACGGGAACUGAGACACGGUCCAGACUCCUACGGGAGGCAGCAGUAGGGAAUCUUCCGCAAUGGGCGAAAGCCUGACGGAGCAACGCCGCGUGAGUGAUGAAGGGUUUCGGCUCGUAAAACUCUGUUAUUAGGGAAGAACAAAUGUGUAAGUAACUGUGCACAUCUUGACGGUACCUAAUCAGAAAGCCACGGCUAACUACGUG
rnacentral:rRNA from 1 species